rnacentral:rRNA from 1 species
UACGUAGGGUGCAAGCGUUAAUCGGAAUUACUGGGCGUAAAGCGUGCGCAGGCGGUUUUGUAAGUCUGUCGUGAAAUCCCCGGGCUCAACCUGGGAAUUGCGAUGGAGACUGCAAGGCUAGAAUCUGGCAGAGGGGGUAGAAUUCCACGUGUAGCAGUGAAAUGCGUAGAGAUGUGGAGGAACACCGAUGGCGAAGGCAGCCCCCUGGGUCAAGAUUGACGCUCAUGCACGAA